UCCAAGUGGGCUGAGAUGGCUAAGGUACUCGAUUGCUGAUCGUCCAACCUGGGUUCGAGUCCCAGUUGGAG
rnacentral:tRNA from 1 species